rnacentral:rRNA from 1 species
AACGAACGCUGGCGGCAGGCCUAACACAUGCAAGUCGAGCGCGCCCUUCGGGGUGAGCGGCGGACGGGUGAGUAACGCGUGGGAACGUGCCCUUUUCUACGGAAUAGCCUCGGGAAACUGAGAGUAAUACCGUAUACGCCCUUUGGGGGAAAGAUUUAUCGGAAAAGGAUCGGCCCGCGUUGGAUUAGGUAGUUGGUGGGGUAAUGGCCUACCAAGCCGACGAUCCCUAGCUGGUUUGAGAGGAUGAUCAGCCACACUGGGACUGAGACACGGCCCAGACUCCUACGGGAGGCAGCAGUGGGGAGUCUUAGACAAGGGGGGCAACCCUGAUCUAGCCAUGCCGCGUGAGUGAUGAAGGCCUUAGGGUUGUAAAGCUCUUUCAGCUGGGAAGAUAAUGACGGUACCAGCAGAAGAAGCCCCGGCUGACUCCGUG